UGCUUUCCUGUCAUAGUCAGGUCUCUGGUCUUCGUGUUGGCAUCUGGCUUCAACUGAAAUUUCAAAAGAUGACAAGAGAGUGGAAUGAAGACGAGACGCCCACUGGGUGAGCAAUCCAUGCAAAAGGAAACAUCUCGGCAACGAGUUCGACCUACCAGUCAGCUGCAGCUUGUGGCCUAACAGGACGCUCUCCUCAAACAGCGAUGCAAAUAGCCGCCCCAGCUGUCACCUAUCAGGGAGGAUCCGCGCCACCAUCGCUGUCUGGGCUGGAAAUCUGCUUCCCAGGCUGAGCUACCCGCUACUGAGCUAUUGUCAG